rnacentral:rRNA from 1 species
ACGUAGGAGGCGAGCGUUGUCCGGAUUUACUGGGUAUAAAGGGUCCGCAGGCGGAUUGACAAGAGGAUGGUGAAAUUCUUCAGCUUAACUGAAGAGCUGUCGUCGAUACUGUUGAUAUUGAAUACAGGAGAGGGUAACCGAAUUCCAGGUGUAGCGGUGAAAUGCUUAGAUAUCUGGAAGAACACCGGUAGCGUAGGCUGUUGCCUGGCCUGCUAUUGACGCUCAGGGACGAAAGCGUGGGGAUCAUUCAG